CCUACGGGAGGCAGCAGCGAGGAAUCUUGCGCAAUGGGCGAAAGCCUGACGCAGCAACGCCGCGUGGACGAUGAAGGCCUUCGGGUCGUAAAGUCCUUUUCUGUGGGAAGAUCGUGACGGUACCACAGGAAUAAGCAUCGGCUAACUACGUGCCAGCAGCCGCGGUAAUACGUAGGAUGCAAACGUUGUCCGGAUUUAUUGGGCGUAAGGAGUGCGUAGGCGGCUUCUUAAGUGGGGCGUGAAAUCCCCCGGCUUAACCGGGGAGGGUCGUCCUAAACUGGGGGGCUUGAGGGUAGAAGAAGAGAGCGAAAUUCCCGGUGUAGGGGUGAAAUGCGUAGAUAUCGGGAGGAACACCUGUGGCGAGGGCGGCUCUCUAGGCUAUUCCUGACGCUGAGGCACGAAAGCGUGGGGAGCGAACGGGAUUAGAUACCCCUGUAGU
rnacentral:rRNA from 1 species